ACGCUCGACACCUACGGGAGGCAGCAGUGGGGAAUAUUGCACAAUGGGGGAAACCUUGAUGCAGCGACGCCGCGUGGAGGAAGAAGGUCUUCGGAUUGUAAACUCCUGUUGUUGGGGAAAAAGAGGAUGGUACCCAACAAGGAAGUGACGGCUAACUACGUGUCAGCAGCCGCGGUAAUCUGAGCGGGCUGGCAAGGC
rnacentral:rRNA from 1 species